ACGGGAGGCAGCAGUGAGGAAUAUUGGUCAAUGGACGGAAGUCUGAACCAGCCAAGUCGCGUGAAGGAUGAAGGUAUUAUGUAUUGUAAACUUCUUUAGACGUAGAGAAAUAAGCCCCUCGUGAGGGGUGAUGCUAGUAUACGUAGAAUAAGGACCGGCUAAUUCCGUGCCAGCAGCCGCGGUAAUACGGAAGGUCCGGGCGUUAUCCGGAUUUAUUGGGUUUAAAGGGAGCGUAGGCCGUGCUUUAAGCGUGUUGUGAAAUGUAGGCGCCCAACGUCUGCACUGCAGCGCGAACUGGAGCACUUGAGUACGCAGGAAGUAGGCGGAAUUCGUCGUGUAGCGGUGAAAUGCUUAGAUAUGACGAAGAACUCCGAUUGGGAAGCCAGCUUACUGUAGCGCCACUGACGCUGAUGCUCGAAAGCGUGGGUAUCGAACAGGAUUAGAUACCCUGGUA
rnacentral:rRNA from 1 species